rnacentral:rRNA from 1 species
GACGAACGCUGGCGGCGUGCUUAACACAUGCAAGUCGAACGGAAAGGCCCUGCGCUUGUGGGGUGCUCGAGUGGCGAACGCGUGAGUAAAACGCGUGUAAACCGCCCUUGUCAUUGGGAUAACUCCAGGAAACUGGGGCUAAUACCGGAUAGGAGCUCUUGCAGCAUGGGGGGGGUUGGAAAGUGUCGGCGGUUGGGGCUCGACUCGCGGGUUAUCAGCCUGUUGGUGGGGUAGUGGCUUACCAAGCCUUUGACGGGUAGCCGGCCUGAGAGGGUGACCGGCCACCUUGGGACUGAGAUACGGCCCAGAAUCCUACGGGAGGCAGCAGUGGGGAAUAUUGCACAAUGGGCGGACGCCUGAUGCAGCAACGCCGCGUGCGGGAUGACGGCCUUCGGGUUGUAAACCGCUUUCGCCUGUGACGAAGCGUGAGUGACGGUAAUGGGUAAAGAAGCACCGGCUAACUACGUG